rnacentral:rRNA from 1 species
UACGGAGGGUGCUAGCGUUGUUCGGAAUCACUGGGCGUAAAGCGCGUGUAGGCGGUCCGUUAAGUCUGAUGUGAAAGCCCGGGGCUCACCCCCGGAAGUGCAUUGGAAACUGACGAACUCGAGUCCCGGAGAGGAGGGUGGAAUUCCUGGUGUAGCGGUGAAAUGCGUAGAUAUCUGGAGGAACACCGGUGGCGAAGGCGACAUCCUGGACCGGUAUUGACGCUGAGGCGCGAAAGCUAGGGGAGCGAACGGG